CAGAAACAGAAAUAACCUCUUCUCCAUUUUCCUGUCUCUGAAAAUGAAGAAAAUGGAUGACAGCUAUGCCUGAUCUACCUCUGCUGCGGAAGUUGUACCCGUCAGCACCUGCUGAGGGCUUCGUUGAUCAAAAAAAUCAGGGGCACCCUUUCAGAUAGGAACAUGGACCUUAUUGGCAUCAUCUUGUAUCCAUGGAAACAUUUUAAGUACCUCUCUCUCAAUAUGUACUUCGCUUAUUCAGGGUUCAAGAGCUGAGUACCAAAUAAACACAGUAUUCACCAAAUGCAUCUGUGCCUAACUCACCUUCUUCACGAUGGUCCUAAGGAGUGAUGUGUUUUGGAAGAAUUCAGGUUGAGAUUACAAGAGGAAAUGAUAAACCUAUCCUCAUCUUGCACAUGUGUUCAUAGAAAUACAGCAUAGAUCACACAUGCAGAUGCUGAGGAGUUUGGAUUUUUUUUGUUUGAGGGAAGAGGGACACGUAAUUGGUGAGUCCUCAGUUUUUCCUAUUUUCAGGCAUGGCUACAACCCCCCAACAACAAACUGGGAGAAAAUACAAUGUGUCUUGAUGACACAGCUGCUGCAUAGUUCCAUUGAACUACAAAUAGUUUUUUUCAGCACAAUGAAGAUGUUAGCUUAAUGAAGAACUGGGACACACAAAGAUGACAGCCUGCAUCAGCCACUUCAGCAUCUCCCAAUACAUAAGUCUAAGCAAAAGUGUUGAUUCCAGGGGAAAUUUAUUUUGGUUGUAACUUAAAAGAAGCAACAGUUGAAUGACAAAAAGGAAGAAAAAAUUGGUUGAGUGUACUUUGGAUGUCAUCAAAAGUCUUUGCAAAGAGGGAGCCACAUCCCAGGAGACAGCACCAAAGAAGUGACUCUUUACAUGAGAAACUUCUAUACCUGCAGAUGAUCUUCACAUACAUGAUAUAAUUCCAUUGUCACAGAGAUUCAUGUUUUUCAUGACCUGGGUACAAUGCUGCUUGGCUGGCAUCCUUCUCACCAACAAAGGCAUGAGUAAACUGUAUCCUUUUUUCAAUUAACAUCUGGAAGAUUUCAUUUUCUACCAAGUCCUAUUUUAGUUUUAAAAAUGGUAAUGUUCAUCCUGCAGCCAUCUGCAGCAGUGGGUGGAU